GGCUCAGCAUCUCCAGUUUGGAAUAGGGGAGUAUCAUCUGAUCUUGGAAGCUAAGCAGGGUCAGGCCUGGUUAGUACUUCCAUGGGAGACCACCUGGGAACACCGGGUGCUGUAGGCU
rfam:Nomascus leucogenys chromosome 15, whole genome shotgun sequence.